rnacentral:rRNA from 1 species
UACGUAGGGUGCGAGCGUUGUCCGGAAUUAUUGGGCGUAAAGAGCUUGUAGGCGGUUUGUCGCGUCUGCCGUGAAAAUUCGAGGCUCAACCUCGAACUUGCGGUGGGUACGGGCAGACUAGAGUGUGGUAGGGGAGACUGGAAUUCCUGGUGUAGCGGUGAAAUGCGCAGAUAUCAGGAGGAACACCGAUGGCGAAGGCAGGUCUCUGGGCCACUACUGACGCUGAGACACGAAAGCGUGGGUAGCAAACAGG